ensembl:lncRNA
GCACGUGUCUGAAAUCACACACAUCAGCUCGGCCUGACGCGCCCACGUCCGUGUUCCCCGCUCGGCCGCUGCCCAGAUACGACCUGCAGCUGUUCGUAUCUUCCCUCCCCUCUUGGUGCAGAGGCGAGGCAGACGCCCCGAGGAGGAAUCGGGCCGAUGGCGGCUGCUCCCCGGACUCUCUGGUCAGAGAGAACAGCACCAACGGGCUCCAACCAGAGAAGAAGAAGAAGUGUGAGGCGCCGCUGCACAACGCAGAGUCUCUAGUCGGAGACGUGGACGCCUCACAGGUCCCCGACCGGCAGCUCCUCUGAGGGGAACCUGCUGAACGCCAGCGGGGCAAAGAAAGAGAGCGGCCAACACAACCAAACCAUUGAUCUGGGCAAAAGAACACCGACGUUCGGGAGAUUGGAAUCAACGUUUGAGGUGUUUGGAUCACACAGAAGAACAUUUGUGAGACGCCAAACGGGUGAGAAGAUGCUGGAGGAGUCCUGAUCCAAUCGGACUCGCGGGAGGUGCUUUUCUACAGGUGACCUCAACAAACGAACUGAUGCUGAACGUCUGCAAAGCUGGAACUGCUGC